CAGGAGCAGGAGGGGGAUGGAGAGGAGAAGGCUCCUGGGUGGCAUGGCGCUCCUGCUCCUCCAGGCGCUGCCCAGCCCCUUGUCAGCCAGGGCUGAACCCCCGCAGGAUAAGGAAGCCUGUGUGGGUACCAACAAUCAAAGCUACAUCUGUGACACAGGACACUGCUGUGGACAGUCUCAGUGCUGCAACUACUACUAUGAACUCUGGUGUAAGUCCUUGCUUGGGUGCCUCUCAGUAUCCCAGGGUCCCAGUUACUGCCUCUGCUUAGUGGGAAACUCUGGGCAUUAGCCCUUUUCGGAUUCUCUUGGGGACAGUGUUGGUGAGUGGAAUCUGUUUAUGGGUUCCAGAAGUGCUUCCUUUGUAGAGGAAGAGAGUUCUGGUGCUCUUUGGACUUUGUUAGCUGAAGACUAGAGAAUAUGGUCUUAGCCAGGUCUGCUGCAGAAGCUCUUGCCUGAGGUUCUCCUGGCUGCCCUCUCCAUUGUGUGCUGAGCAGCUGACAACAACUUAGAUGCUUCCUUGGGCCCUCCCAGAAGCCCAGGUUUGCCUUUCUUUUUUUUUUUGACGGAGUCUCGCUCUGUCACCAGGCUGGAGUGCAGGCGCAACCUCAGCUCAUUGCAGCCUCUGCCUCCCGAGUUCAACUGAUUCUCCUCCCUCAGCCUCCUGAGUAGCUGGUACUACAGGUGUGCACCACCAUGCCCAACUAAUUUUUGUAUUUUUAGGAGAGAUGGGGUUUCACCGUAUUGGCCAAGAUGGUCUCGAUCUGUUGACCUCGUGAUCUGCCCGCCUUGGCUUCCCAAAGUGCUGGGAUUAGAGGCGUGAGCCACCACACCUGGCUGGCUUGCUGUUUUUGCAGAGAGAGGUUGCAAGCCAAGCUACUAUGAAUGCCAGGCCACUCUAGAUGGUCACUAUGCCAUUUUCUUGUAAGGACCACAGGGGCUUCCAGAAUUUCCCAUAGAACCUCAUGGAGUGCCUCUGUUUCUGAGGGUCCUUCGGAAAGGAACAGUCUUUCCCUAGGUCCUUGCCUAUAGAGGACCUUCUGGAGAAAGGGAGUCUUGAGGCUCAGCUCCUUUUAUUUCUUACCCAGUUCUCACAUGGAAGUUCCUGGAGGAUUCUCCAGUGUACCUAACCUUUUACUGUCAGCUAAAUCCCAUGUGGAGGCUGGGCACAGUAGCUCACGCUUAUAAUCCCAGCACCCUGGGAGGCCAAGGCAUGUGGAUCACUUGAGCCCAAGAGUUCAAUACCAGCCUGGCUAACAUGGUGAAACCCCCUCUCUACUAAAAAUACAAAAAUUAUCUGGGCAUGGUGGUGUGUGCCUGCAGUCCCAGCUACUCAGGAGGCUGAGGCAGGAGAAUCACUUGAACCCGGGAGGCGGAGGUUGCAGUGAGCCGAGGUUGCGCCACUGCACUCCAGCCUGGGCAACAGAGCGAGGCUCCAUCU
rnacentral:lncRNA from 1 species